rnacentral:rRNA from 1 species
UCUGUGAUGCCCUUAGAUGUUCUGGGCUGCACGCGCGCUACAAUGAUGCACUUAACAAGUAUUCCCUGGCUUGUCGAGGCUGGGUAAUCUUGUGAGUGUGCAUCGUGACAGGGAUAGAUGAUUGUAAUUAUUCAUCUUAAACGAGGAAUUCCUAGUAAGCGCAAGUCAUUAGCUUGUGCUGAUUAUGUCCCUGCCCUUUGUACACACCGC